CUAUGUUUCAAAAUUUCAGCACUUUUUUUUUUCUUGCCCUAGCAUGUAAGUGCUCCUAAGAUACUGCCAGAUAAUAAUCUUAUAAAAGACAGUGUUCAACCUGUCCUGGGUUCAGACAAAUAUCUGGAAUGUACUGAAGAACCUCCUCCUCCAGCAAUGCCAGUAUAUGAGGACCUCUUCAGUUCACUAUUACCACCGCCUGAAAUAACUGUGAUUCCAAACAACCUCUUGCAGGUUUGAUGUACAAAAUUAAUUUGCACUAAAGUUAGCAUUUUAUUAGCAAAAUUGGAAACGUCCUUUUUUCAAACAUUCUUCUUGUUUAAACUUACUUAGAUUUUAUCCCGGUACAAUCCAAAUAUAAAAGUACCCAGGUCAGCUGCGAAAGGAACUAAAGAAGAAAAUGCUUCACAAUUUGAAGAAAAGCUAUUUCUUUGUACUGAUAACAAAGAAAACAGAAAAUACUCUGGAUGAAAUGAAGACUAAAUCUGAAUUUUUUUCUUCGACUACCA
rnacentral:lncRNA from 1 species